AGAGGGUUAGAAAAGGUUAUGUCCCAGUUCUGGUGGGGAAAGAAAUGGGAGACAUGCAGAAGCUAUGGAUACCCAUCAAGCUCCUCAGCCAUCCAAGAAUUGUUGCACUUCUCAGAAGGUCAGCCCAUGAAUUUGGGUUUCAACAACAAGGCUUGCUUAAGAUUAAGCAUGAUGUUCAUCUUUUUAAAGGAGGAGCUCGUUAAGAAAACUAAGAAGUAGAACAGCAAGUCAUGAGGACAAAGGCAGCCAAAAUUGAGAGAGUGAGGAGUGGUUUCAGGAUAUGCAGGCCACAAGGGUCCUUUCUGUGGCCAAACAUGGGCAUCUCUACCCCACCCUCAGCCUCCUCAUCCUCAGCCACCCACCUCAUCCCUAUACCUCCUCAGCCUCAGCCUCAGUCUCCUGUCAAGCCUGUAGCUGAGAGGCGCCCAGUCAAGACUGCCACUUUAUGCAAUGUGAGCUAUAAACCCUCUGCCUCUGCUCUCCUAUUUUUCUUCCACCUGGGGCCCCCCUCCAAUUCCAAGAGAAGUGUCACCGUCACCAACACACUCCUCAUCAACCUAACCCUAAUGAGCUCCCCAACCCUAACCCUAAUAACCUCCAAAACACCUCUGAAACUAGCACUGCAUUGUCUAGGAGACUAGGACACUCACCUACCAGAGAAGACACCAUCGUCAUCAAUAUCCGCGUAUGUUGAAGGCUAAGACAGAGGAUGGGGAAGAUGGAAAUGCAAGCAAUGAGUCUUCUCAGCAGUAGCAGCAGCAUGAGGAGCAGACAAGGUGGUAACAUCCUCUUAAAUUAAUGACUUGGUAGUGACCAAAAAGCCGCUCUCUAAAGUUUUGUCUAUAGUUAUAAUAUGAUGGGUCGAAGUCAACAGAUUGAACAAGUUUGUGAGCAUCAGUGUCAAUAUGGUAAUUCGAACGUUUCUGAGCAUCAGGGGCAAUUUGAUACUUGGAACAUUUGUUUCACCUCCUAUUCUAACACCCUUCAUCCACUUGGAAUUGGUGCUGCAACAUUGCCCGACAUCUACAAAGCUUUCCCAUCAUUAUUGUUUCUUUCUUUGUUGUGUUUUUUAAGGAUGGGGUUAUGAGAUUUUUUUUUUCUUUUCUUUGAGGAAGGGAUAUUCUAUUGUUA